rnacentral:rRNA from 1 species
UAAAUAGCCCGGCUGGCUUUUGCAAGUCGCAGGCUUCUUAGAGGGACUAUCGGCUUAAGCCGGUGGAAGUUUGAGGCAAUAACAGGUCUGUGAUGCCCUUAGAUGUCCUGGGCUGCACGCGCGCUACACUGACAGAGCCAGCGAGUUCAUUCCUUCACCGAGAGGU